rnacentral:SRP_RNA from 1 species
GGGCCGUAGGUAGGGCUCCCCUAUACCUGGGGGAGCCAGAUAACCGCUUAACCGCUCACAAACCACCACCAACCCCCACAUCCACCAAUGAACCCCGCCCCAUGGGGUCGGCGGUGACGGAACCUCCUCCGGAGGGAGGGGGUAAACCGUCUUAACCGGGGGAACCAGGCUAGGCCCGGAAGGGAGCAACCUAACCCCGGCCGUCGACGUUCAUGGGUCAACGGGGUUGAGGUGGAUGUGGAAGGGCUCUGGUGGAUCGGUUGUGGGUGGUUAAGCGGGGCUACGGCCC